rnacentral:ncRNA from 1 species
GUGAAAACGCCCUUCCCCCAAGAUAAAGGAGCUGAUAUCAGGCUCUAUAAUUUGCCCAAGACAUCUAGCUAUGCCACACCCCCAAGGGUCUUCAGCAGUGAUUAACAUUAAAAAUAAACGCAAGUUUGAUCUAGUUAGCGAGAACAGAGCCGGCCAAUCUGGUGCCAGCUGCCGCGGUUACACCAUGAGGCUCAAAUUGAUUUUAUCCGGCGUAAAGUGUGACUGAAGAGAGCCUAAUCACAUAGGGUUAAACUUCAACUAAGUAGUAAUAUGCUUGUUCCAUGUAAAUCCACACCCGAAAGAUACCCUAUACAUCAACUUAAAUUCACGACAACUGGGAUACAAACUGGGAUUAGAUACCCCACUAUGCCUAGUCAUAAACUUUAACUUACAUCAACCCCCGCCUGGGAACUACGAGCAAAGCUUGAAACCCAAAAGACUUGACGGUGCCCCACAUCCCCCUAGAGGAGCCUGUCCUAUAAUCGAUAACCCCCGUUCAACCUUACCGACUUUUAGUACUCAGCUUGUAUACUUCCGUCGUCAGCUUACCGCGUGAGCGCAAAAGUAAGCCUAAUGGUUUAAACCACCAAUACGUCAGGUCAAAGUGUAGCUAAUAAAGUGGGAAGAGAUGGGCUACACUCUCUAUUGUAGAGAAAACAAAAAAUUAUAUGAAACUAUAGUUAGAAGGUGGAUUUAGUAGUAAAAAGAGAAUAGAGUACCCUUUUUAACCUGCACUGAGGCGUGUACACACCGCCCGUCACCCUCUUCGAUAAACUACCUAAGUAAUUAACAUCACUUUCAAAAAAGAAGAGGCAAGUCGUAACAUGGUAAGCAUACCGGAAGGUGUGCUUGGAAU